rnacentral:rRNA from 1 species
UAGUCCAUGCCGUAAACGAUGUUUACUCGCUGUUGGCGAUAUACUGUCAGCGGCUAAGCGAAAGCAUUAAGUAAACCACCUGGGGAGUACGAUCGCAAGGUUGAAACUCAAAGGAAUUGACGGGGGCCCGCACAAGCGGUGGAGCAUGUGGAUUAAUUCGAUGAUACGCGAGGAACCUUACCAGGGCUUAAAUGGUAUUGGACCGUUGCCGAAAGGUGACUUUCUUUAGACUGAUAUCAAGGUGCUGCAUGGCUGUCGUCAGCUCGUGCCGUGAGGUGUUGGGUUAAGUCCCGCAACGAGCGCAACCCUUGUCCCUAGUUGCCAGCAUUUCGGAUGGGAACUCUAGGGAGACUGACCGGUGACAAACCGGGAGGAAGGUGGGGAUGACGUCAAGUCUUCAUGGCCCUUACGGGUUGGGCUACGACACGUGCUACAAUGGCAACUACAGUGGGUUAAUCCCCAAAAGUUGUCUCAGUUCGGAUUGGGGUCUGCAACUCGACCCCAUGAAGUCGGAAUCGCUAGU